UGGGGAAUUUUGGACAAUGGGCGAAAGCCUGAUCCAGCAAUGCCGCGUGUGUGAAGAAGGCCUUCGGGUUGUAAAGCACUUUUGUCCGGAAAGAAAUCCUUGGCUCUAAUACAGUCGGGGGAUGACGGUACCGGAAGAAUAAGCACCGGCUAACUACGUGCCAGCAGCCGCGGUAAUACGUAGGGUGCAAGCGUUAAUCGGAGUUACUGGGCGUAAAGCGUGCGCAGGCGGUUUGCUAAGACCGAUGUGAAAUCCCCGGGCUCAACCUGGGAACUGCAUUGGUGACUGGCAGGCUAGAGUAUGGCAGAGGGGGGUAGAAUUCCACGUGUAGCAGUGAAAUGCGUAGAGAUGUGGAGGAAUACCGAUGGCGAAGGCAGCCCCCUGGGCCAAUACUGACGCUCAUGCACGAAAGCGUGGGGAGCAAAACAGGAUUAGAUACCCUGGUAGUCCACGCCCUAAACGAUGUCAACUAGUUGUUGGGGAUUCAUUUCCUUAGUAACGUAGCUAACGCGUGAAGUUGACCGCCUGGGGAGUAC
rnacentral:rRNA from 1 species